CCUACGGGAGGCAGCAGUGGGGAAUUUUGGACAAUGGGCGCAAGCCUGAUCCAGCAAUGCCGCGUGCAGGAUGAAGGCCUUCGGGUUGUAAACUGCUUUUGUACGGAACGAAACGGCGAGCUCUAAUAAAGUUCGCUAAUGACGGUACCGUAAGAAUAAGCACCGGCUAACUACGUGCCAGCAGCCGCGGUAAUACGUAGGGUGCAAGCGUUAAUCGGAAUUACUGGGCGUAAAGCGUGCGCAGGCGGUGAUGUAAGACAGAUGUGAAAUCCCCGGGCUCAACCUGGGACCUGCAUUUGUGACUGCAUCGCUAGAGUACGGUAGAGGGGGAUGGAAUUCCGCGUGUAGCAGUGAAAUGCGUAGAUAUGCGGAGGAACACCGAUGGCGAAGGCAAUCCCCUGGACCUGUACUGACGCUCAUGCACGAAAGCGUGGGGAGCAAACAGGAUUAGAUACCCUGGUAGUCCACGCCCUAAACGAUGUCAACUGGUUGUUGGGUCUUCACUGACUCAGUAACGAAGCUAACGCGUGAAGUUGACCGCCUGGGGAGUACGGCCGCAAGGUUGAAACUUAAAGGAAUUGACGG
rnacentral:rRNA from 1 species